UACGAAGGGGGCUAGCGUUGCUCGGAAUCACUGGGCGUAAAGCGCACGUAGGCGGAUUGUUAAGUCAGGGGUGAAAUCCUGGAGCUCAACUCCAGAACUGCCUUUGAUACUGGCGAUCUCGAGUCCGGGAGAGGUGAGUGGAACUGCGAGUGAGAGGUGAAAUUCGUAGAUAUUCGCAAGAACACCAGUGGCGAAGGCGGCA
rnacentral:rRNA from 1 species